GCUCGUCCCUUGCCUCCUCGCGUGAGCGGUGUCCUCCUGCACCGCCAGAGCCGCCGCUCAUCCGCGGCCUGUGGAGGCAGCCGCGCAUGGAGGAUGGAUCCGGCGACGGCCUCCUCAACCUCAAGACUCGCGGUCGGCCACCUCGUUCAUCCAUGGAUCUGCGUCAACUUACGUUUCCUACCUCGGCUCCUUCGUCCGACAUCUCUGGCGGCUCCUCGCCCACCUCGCCGGCGGCGACCACUACCCGCUUCUCUGCUCCAAGAUCCAUGCUCGUCAAUUGCUUUGGUCUUCACAGGCGAUGUGGAGCAGAACCUACAGAGGAGCAGUUGCUAGCUUCUUGAUUAAGCGGCAAGUGGAUUUGCUUUCUUUUGCCUUUAUCCUCUAGCGGUGGCUGCAGAUCCAUGGUCAAAACAGCAUGGGUGCAUCCCUGGCGGAUGGAUGAUAAUAGAUACAUUUACUUCUUUGGGUUUCUACUGCGGCUCAACUCAGAUCCAUGUUUUGUCUCUUUGAGCUUAUAUUUCUUUUAUGUAUUCAAUUUUCCUGAUACAAACAUAACCCAAGUCCACCAUAUCAUGAUAUUUACUGAAUAUCAUAUACAUUUGCCAUGUCCAUCAUUUACAGAUUACAAAUAUAUACCAAGUGAAUUUCAAUGCCAUUCCUCUUAUCCAGAUGGUUCUUUUGCAGUACUAUUGAGAUGUCCUGAUUUUUUUCGUACUGUAAUUGCCAUUAAAGUUAGAUGUCCGUAACAACAAUUUUCAUAGAAAGAAAUGUGCCACUUUCAUAUAUCCUCUCCUUGUAGGCAAUAAUGGAUAUGAGACUCGUGUGAUUAUUUCAAUCCAACUGAAAGAGACGUCACUUUCUUUUUAUGCCGUGGAGCCUGUCAUUUUUAUCAGGUAUGCAAUUAAAAGCUGAGAAGGAUGCAAAAUUUGAGCUCGUGCUUGAAACAUGGGUUCGCUUGAAGCUACUUUUUGGCAGUAUUGUCAGAUUUUGUGCUAGAUUAACUAGACUUAAACUUAUUUUUUGCUGGAUCAAAAAACUUUGAUGUUGUAUGUAUGUGAUGAGAUGUUGGAUCAGAAUUUAUCUAUAUAUAUGAGCUGGUUUAUAUCA